GGAUUUAUAGUUUAAUCGUUAAAACAAAAAUUUUCUAAAUUUUAAAUAUAAGUUAAAAUCUUAUUAAAUUCA